rnacentral:rRNA from 1 species
UACGUAGGUGGCAAGCGUUGUCCGGAUUUACUGGGCGUAAAGAGCGCGCAGGCGGUCGUUCAAGUCGCGUGUGAAAGCCCCACGGCUCAACUGGGAGGGUCACGCGAUACUGAUCGACUCGAAGGCAGGAGAGGGUAGUGGAAUUCCCGGUGUAGUGGUGAAAUGCGUAGAUAUCGGGAGGAACACCAGUGGCGAAGGCGACUACCUGGCCUGUUUCUUGACGCUGAGGCGCGAAAGCUAGGGGAGCAAACGGG